rnacentral:misc_RNA from 1 species
AAGUCGUAACAAGGUAUCCGUAGGUGAACCUGCGGAUGGAUCAUUACAAAAUAUUACGUGAUUGUAACUUUACCGCUUUACGCUGUAUUCAAUCUCGUUCAAUAUCAAUCAUUGUGAACUGUUCACUGUUGUCCUGCAAGUUUGUCUUGUACCAGACGCGGUGUAUUUAUAACAAUAACUAGACUAUUGAACCAUAAACUAAAAACUAAAACUUUUAGCAACGGAUCUCUAGGCUCUC